AUAAUUUCUGGUAGUGGGGACUGCGUUCGCGCUAUCCCCG
rnacentral:snRNA from 1 species